CAAACUGAAGAUGGCGACCGGCGCACGGGUGAGUAACACGUAUCCAACCUGCCGAUAACUCCGGAAUAGCCUUUCGAAAGAAAGAUUAAUACCGGAUGGCAUACGAAUAUCGCAUGAUAUUUUUAUUAAAGAAUUUCGGUUAUCGAUGGGGAUGCGUUCCAUUAGUUUGUUGGCGGGGUAACGGCCCACCAAGACUACGAUGGAUAGGGGUUCUGAGAGGAAGGUCCCCCACACUGGAACUGAGACACGGUCCAAACUCCUACGGGAGGCAGCAUG
rnacentral:rRNA from 1 species